AUCAUUUUUCCUUCCACACACUCAUCUCCCUCUCCCUAUUUCUCUCCUCUCUCUACCUCGACCUACUCCUUCCCUCACUGUUAGGACGUCGCACCCACCAUCAUCUGGCGUCACACCACCAUCUUCUCGACCUAUCUCUUCCUUCAUUUUGACGGCUGCAAAUGACAGUAGCACCAGUAGGCAGCGGUGCUUACAGCCUGAAGCGACGAAGCAGUAGUGUCGCCUCAAAAGCCUGGUUGAGCGGGAUGGUUCGUCGCUGUGGAUAGCGCCACUAUGCAUAGAAAGGCGGUGGCGCCUCGGUGUUUUUUUAGGAAUUUUUUAAAUUUAUCUACUGUGAGAGGUUUUUUGUUGGUGAUUUUCUUAUUAAAUUUACUGUGAUGGCUUGUUGGUAGCUGUGGUGGUUGUGUAAGUUGGUGGUUUGCAUUAAUUGCCGGUGUAAAGGGUUGCUUCAAUGGCUUUGACAUUAUCUUUGGGCUUCUUUGCGAUCUAUUUUGUAGGAGUGCUGGGCGUUUGGUGGUGAUGCAGGUCAUGGUAAUGUGGUGGUGCUGGUGUUUUCUAUAGUGGUGGAUUUGGCAAAUUGGGGUUUUGUUGAAUUUGGCAAUGGUAGGGGGCGGUGAUGGUGGUAUGUUUGUGUUGUCUUUGUUGUUGUUGACGGUGGUUGUGAUGGUGUUGUGCAGGCGAUGGUUGUGAGGUGGUGGUCAUUUUUGUUGUUGG
rnacentral:lncRNA from 1 species